AGAUCCAACCCAUGCGCACUGAGAAGUCUUGUCUUCUGAACUCGUGUCUUCUCGAGGCGUCUAUCAAAUCACCCUUAAGUGGGGUAAUAAAUACUCAGUUUAUACUUUUAUCUACACGUCCGUUGAACUGCCAUACUACAUGUAUUUUGGUUAGAGGAUCAUCCCCAUUAUAAAAGGGUUUAUCACCUUCUUCAAAUAAGUAAAACAAAAAUCUCUCCAUUUACUUGAUUAAACAAAUAUCUCUCCAUGUCGAACAGUAACUUGGCUUC
rnacentral:lncRNA from 1 species